rnacentral:rRNA from 1 species
GCAUUGGGCGACUAAACCCAAGGGCGCAGUGAAAGCGAAGGGCACUCGGUGCCUGAGCGGUGAUCCCUUUUUGGGCGCAACCGCGGCGCUUUGCAUCGACCUUGCAUCGUGCAGAGCAGCAAGAGCAUACACGUUGGGACCCGAAAGAUGGUGAACUAUGCCUGGCCAGGUUGAAGUCAGGGGAAACCCUGAUGGAGGACCGUAGCGAUUCUGACGUGCAAAUCGAUCGUCGGAGCUGGGUAUAGGGGCGAAAGACUAAUCGAACCAUCUAGUAGCUGGUUCCUUCCGAAGUUUCCCUCAGGAUAGCUGGCACUCAUCUAACGAGUUUCAUCCGGUAAAGCGAAUGAUUAGAAGUCUUGGGGACGAAACGUCCUCAACUUAUUCUCAAACUUUAAAUGGGUGAGAAGUGGGGCUUGCUUAAGUGAAGCCCUACAACGAAUCGGAGUGCCAAGUGGACCAUUUUUGGUAAGCAG